CGGGGAUCGCGGACUCCCCGGUUCAAGACGCGCCGCGUCCAAGUUCUGC
rfam:Betaproteobacteria bacterium RIFCSPLOWO2_02_67_12 rifcsplowo2_02_sub10_scaffold_382, whole genome shotgun sequence.